GUGGCUCAACGGCAGAUCAUCUGCUUAGCGUGCAGAAGGCCCCACGUUCAAUCCCUGCUUUUCCA
rnacentral:tRNA from 1 species